GCUACUGACCCAUUUUGUUCAUUCCCCAAGCUGCCGACUCAGACUUGAUAUCUGCCAAGCAUGCAGUACCAUCAUCCCUAUCAACAUCAGCUGCGCAUGUGUCAGUCGAAACACCAAACGUGUCUAGAGUCAUAGACGACAUUUUGGCAAUACCAAUUAACACCCUCGGUGCUGUAAACAAGUUCCUCGAAAACAACGUGCCUGCCAAGAAAUCUGUACAGGUUUCAGAAGAUGGAACUGCAAGAGUCCGCCGGGGUCCUCACGGCAGAAGACGGGGCAACAAAGUUGUUAUCGUCGAACAAGAAACAACAAAAUCUGAAACCGCAGAAUCCCACUAAAAUUCACAAAUUAAUAUUGUAUUACUCUAUUUACUAGAUAGUUAGGUAUAUUUUACUGUAGAUUUUGUAGUUAUACAAAAUAUUCUAAAAGUUUGUACAAAGACUUAGUUAAGGAUACCCAAUAUACAAGAUUUUAAAAUAAACUUUUUGUGUUACGAA